ensembl:snRNA U2 U2 spliceosomal RNA
CUCGCUUCUCUGCCUUUUGGCUAAGAUCAAGUGUACUAUCUGUUCUUAUCAGUUUAAUAUCUGAUACGUCCUCUAUAUGAGGACUACAUAUUAAAUUGAUUUUUAGAGGGGCUUGCUCGUUUGGGGCAGUCAUGGGCUGGAGGUUAGGGAACCAGCCCUGUGACCAGAAGGU